rnacentral:tRNA from 1 species
GACUGCGUAGCUCAGUUGGCAGAGCAUUGGGCUAGUAUUCCAAAGGUUGUAGGUUCGAUUCCCGCCAUGGUCA